AAACGUUUUUGCAUAUUUUAUAUACACACAUAAGUGAAGAGAAUUUCCAACUUUCCCUAUAAAUUGCCAAGGUAUUAAGGUAAAUUUAGGUAUCCUCACUUGAUAUCAAGAGAGACGAAAGCCUAGCUACGGUGUGUGACAAUGAGCAAGAACUCGAAUGUCCUCAGCUCAUCUCCGCCAGAGAAGUUAAAACUUUAGCACGGGGGAGAAGGGCCUUCAGAAGCCGAAAAGAUGGAUGAAAUAUUUGUUCAGACGUUGGAGCUGGAGGGUAAAGAAAUGGGCAUCUAAAUCAUAGAACAGUUACGAAAGUUGGCUGACAAUAUAGAGCAACGAAAAGAAACUAUAAAGCAACCAGAAAAGACUUUGAAGCUCUUUAAUCAAAUGGUGGAAUUUCUGAUUCUUGCUGUAGAGAUAAUAACUUCAGUUGAAGAACCAGCAGAAAACAAAGCUCCCUCCAAUGAAAGAAAUGAUAAGGGAAAAAUUAAUGCAGAAAAGAAAAAGAAUAAGAAAGAUGGUGCAAAGAAAUAAACCUUUUUUCUCCAGCUGGCUGAAUUAAUAAGUUUAACCUUAGGGUUUUUGCUUUCAAGUGUUAUGUUAAGCUUUUAAUUUUCCUCUAGAAUGUAUCUGCGCAUGGAUGCAUGUGCAACUGGUUUGAUUAAAAUGCAAUAAAAUGUUAUAUUUACUUUGAA